AGCCAUUCUGCCUCAGCCUCCUGAGUAGCUGGGACUACAGACCUAAGCCCCAUGCCCUGGGUAAAGGGGGAGCCACCUCGCAUUUGUGCCCCUGCCGUCUCGGCCUUGUGUGGAGGACAGACAGCAUGGAGGGCAAGAGUCUAAUCCCCCAAGGUCAAAAAAUCCCAUGUAGAACCAGAGGCAGUAGUGCAUGCCUGUAGUCUCAGCUACUCUGGAGGCUGAGGCGGGAGGAUCACGUGAGCCCAGGAGUUCAAGGCUGCAGUGCACUAUGUUCGUACCACUGCACUGCAGCUUGGGUAGCAGAGCAAGAACCCAUUUC